AGUCAUAUGCUUGUCUCAAAGAUUAAGCCAUGCAAGUGUCAGUACGAGCACACACGUAAAGCGAAACUGCGAAUGGCUCAUUAAAUCAGUUGUGGUUCAUUUGAUCGUACCAGUUACAAGGAUAACUGUGGCAAUUCUAGAGCUAAUACAUGCGAAAAGCGCUGACUGCUUCGGCGGGAUGCGUGCUUUUAUCAGACCAAAAACCGACCUGCUUCGGCAGUGCGCUAUUGGUGACUCUGGAUAACGUUGCGGAUCGCACGGUCUCAGCACCGGCGACGGAUCAUUCAAGCGUCUGCCCUAUCAACUUUCGUCGGUACGGUAUCGGCCUACCGAGGUUGUCACGGGUGACGGGGAAUCAGGGUUCGAUUCCGGAGAGGGAGCCUGAGAAACGGCUACCACAUCCAAGGAAGGCAGCAGGCGCGCAAAUUACCCAUUGCCGACUCGGCGAGGUAGUGACGAAAAAUAACGAUGCGAGACUCGAACGAGGCCUCGCAAUCGGAAUGAGUACACUUUAAACGCUUUAACGAGUAUCCAU
rnacentral:rRNA from 1 species